rnacentral:rRNA from 1 species
AUACGGAGGGUGCGAGCGUUGUUCGGAAUUACUGGGCGUAAAGCGCGCGCAGGCGGACGUGCAAGUCGGGGGUGAAAUCCCAGGGCUCAACCCUGGGACUGCUUUCGAUACUGCAUGUCUAGGGACCGGUAGAGGCUGGUGGAAUUCCCGGUGUAGCGGUGGAAUGCGUAGAUAUCGGGAAGAACACCUGUGGCGAAGGCGGCCAGCUGGGCCGGAUCCGACGCUGAGGCGCGAAAGCGUGGGGAGCAAACAGGAUUAGAUACCCUGGUAGUCCACGCCGUAAACGAUGGGUGCUAGAUGCCGGGGGGAGCGACCCCUUCGGUGUCACAGCUAACGCGUUAAGCACCCCGCCUGGGGAGUACGGCCGCAAGGCUGAA